UUCAUCCUUUAUACUAUCACUCUAUUAAAGUGCCUCUAUAACUUGAAUCCAUAUCUCUAGUAACCUCAUGGCCUCUGAUUUUUAUAACUUUCACUACCAUCUUUCCUUCACCCAGUUUGUUACACUGGUUCUAUUGAAGUCUUGGUAAAUUUUAGUAAAACCCAAAAAGAAGUAACGCCUCCAAGUUUUGUAGUUUUCUAACUACAAUCUUCAUUAUAAUGAAUAUCUUGUAUAUGAGGGAGCAAUUUAGUAAAUAAAGUAUGACUUUAGUAAUUAGAAACAUUUGAACACUCACUAGAUAUGAGCAAACAAAACAAUUUAUAGCAACAUGAAUCUAAUGAGAAAUUUCACCAUAUAAUAUGAAAGGUUCAUGUGUUCACGGAUAAAUUAAGCGCUUCCUUAUCUUUUUGCAGAAACUCGAACUCAUAACCCUAGAAUCGAAGAGGAUGAGCCUUCUUUAUCAGAAACUCAAUCCCCUUAAAUCCCACAAACACAAGAAGUCCCUAAAAUCCCAAAAUCCAAAGAAAGUCCUCAAAUGUUAGAAACCCAAGAAAGCCCACCAGCCUAUGAAACCCAUCAACCCCCACAGGUUAGAGAAACCUAUGAAACUCUAAUAUCCCAAGAAAACCAUGACAACCCUCCAACUAAAUAAACCCAUAAAACCCCAUAUAUUACUUACAUCAAAGAAAACACACCACAAACAAAAUCACACAUUGUUGAAUCCAAAGAAAGCCAUGAAAGUCAACAAGGCAAAGAAACUUCUCACACCAUUGAUACCAUAGAAAUCCAUGAACCCCUACAAACUCGAGAAACCUCACAUACCACUACCACCGAAGAAACCCAAGAACCCCCAUCAACCACCAAUGAUCAUAUUGUAACAUUUCAUAUGGAAGAUUCACACAGUUCGCUUCGCAUUGAACCAAAUGUGUCAUCUCCAAGUCCAACUUCAUGAACAAUUCUUUUCUAUUGAAAAAUUGUUUCCAUUGGAGUUUAUACAUUUUGUGGGAGCUCUUUCAUAUCUGCCCCUUAUGCCACUAUGUAUGGAGGUUGGCUUAGCAUCCCAGUGCUAAGUUUUGUCUCCAUAGUGGCAUAUUUCAAUUCAUUUCUACCUGGGUGUUGUCUCAAUAACACGUAUGUGAGUUUAGAGGAUGUUGGAGAGCCUGCUCAUAAUGGAUAUGGGCGUAUAUUAAUUUCUUUAAGAGUAGGGUGUUGUCUCAGUAACACACCUAGGAGUUUAUCGGAUGUCGGGGAGCAUGCUUAUAAUGGAUAUGGUGUAUACUAAUUGUUUAGUUCUUAAACAAGGGUUAACAAGGGAAAAGAUUGAUUAUUAAAAGUAUCAUUCAUUGCGGACUCA